UGGGCGAUUAACUCAGUGGUUAGAGUGCUACCUUCACACGGUAGAAGUCACUGGUUCAAAUCCAGUAUCGCCCAA
rnacentral:tRNA from 1 species